AUUGAACGCUGGCGGCAUGCCUUACACAUGCAAGUCGAACGGCAGCACGGGAGCUUGCUCCUGGUGGCGAGUGGCGAACGGGUGAGUAAUACAUCGGAACGUGCCCAGUAGCGGGGGAUAGCCCGGCGAAAGCCGGAUUAAUGCCGCAUACGACCUACGGGUGAAAGCGGGGGACCGUAAGGCCUCGCGCUAUUGGAGCGGCCGAUGUCUGAUUAGCUUGUUGGUGGGGUAAAAGCCCACCAAGGCGACGAUCAGUAGCUGGUCUGAGAGGACGAUCAGCCACACUGGGACUGAGACACGGCCCAGACUCCUACGGGAGGCAGCAGUGGGGGAUUUUGGACAAUGGGGGCAACCCUGAUCCAGCAAUGCCGCGUGUGCGAAGAAGGCCUUCGGGUUGUAAAGCACUUUUGUCAGGGAAGAAAUCUUUCAGGCUAAUACCCUUGGAAGGAUGACGGUACCUGAAGAAUAAGCACCGGCUAACUACGUGCCAGCAGCAGCCGCGG
rnacentral:rRNA from 1 species